GAUGAACGCUAGCUACAGGCUUAACACAUGCAAGUCGAGGGGAAACGAUAUUGGAAGCUUGCUUCCGAUAGGCGUCGACCGGCGCACGGGUGAGUAACGCGUAUCCAACCUGCCCACCACUUGGGGAUAACCUUGCGAAAGUAAGACUAAUACCCAAUGACGUCUCUAGAGGACAUCUGAAAGAGAUUAAAGAUUUAUCGGUGAUGGAUGGGGAUGCGUCUGAUUAGCUUGUUGGCGGGGUAACGGCCCACCAAGGCAACGAUCAGUAGGGGUUCUGAGAGGAAGGUCCCCCACAUUGGAACUGAGACACGGUCCAAACUCCUACGGGAGGCAGCAGUGAGGAAUAUUGGUCAAUGGGCGAGAGCCUGAACCAGCCAAGUAGCGUGCAGGAUGACGGCCCUAUGGGUUGUAAACUGCUUUUAUAAGGGAAUAAAGUGAGUCUCGUGAGACUUUUUGCAUGUACCUUAUGAAUAAGGACCGGCUAAUUCCGUGCCAGCAGCCGCGGUAAUACGGAAGGUCCGGGCGUUAUCCGGAUUUAUUGGGUUUAAAGGGAGCGUAGGCCGGAGAUUAAGCGUGUUGUGAAAUGUAGACGCUCAACGUCUGCACUGCAGCGCGAACUGGUUUCCUUGAGUACGCACAAAGUGGGCGGAAUUCGUGGUGUAGCGGUGAAAUGCUUAGAUAUCACGAAGAACUCCGAUUGCGAAGGCAGCUCACUGGAGCGCAACUGACGCUGAAGCUCGAAAGUGCGGGUAUCGAACAGGAUUAGAUACCCUGGUAGUCCGCACGGUAAACGAUGGAUGCCCGCUGUUGGUCUGAAUAGGUCAGCGGCCAAGCGAAAGCAUUAAGCAUCCCACCUGGGGAGUACGCCGGCAACGGUGAAACUCAAAGGAAUUGACGGAAGGGC
rnacentral:rRNA from 1 species